ACUGCAAGUCGAGCAAUGAAACACAGAAUAAAUCCUUCGGGAAGAAUUCAGUGUGGAUUAGCGGCGGACGGGUGAGUAACACGUGAGCAAUCUGCCAUACACAUUGGGAUAGCCUUGGGAAACUGGGAUUAAUACCAAAUGAAACAUAAAAGUAGCAUUACUUUAAUGUCAAAGAUUUAUCGGUGUAUGAUGAGCUCGCGUCUGAUUAGCUAGUUGGUGAGAUAAAAGCUCACCAAGGCCAUGAUCAGUAGCCGGCCUGAGAGGGUGAACGGCCACAUUGGGACUGAGACACGGCCCAAACUCCUACGGGAGGCAGCAGUGGGGAAUAUUGCACAAUGGGGGAAACCCUGAUGCAGCGACGCCGCGUGAGCGAAGAAGGGAUUCGUCUCGUAAAGCUCUGUCCUAUGGGAAGAUAAUGACGGUACCAUAGAAGAAAGCCCCGGCUAACUACGUGCCAGCAGCCGCGGUAAUACGUAGGGGGCGAGCGUUGUCCGGAAUCAUUGGGCGUAAAGGGUUCGUAGGCGGUAAUGCAUGUCAGAUGUGAAAUCUUGUGGCUUAACCACAUUAAGCAUCUGAAACUGCAUAACUUGAGUGAAGGAGAGGUAAGUGGAAUUCCUAGUGUAGC
rnacentral:rRNA from 1 species